UGGAAGUAAAAGUCGUAACAAGGUUUCUGUAGGUGAACCUGCAGAAGGAUCAUUAGUGAAAGUUUCGGGCCUGCCAUACGGACGCAAACACGUCUCUGGCGCCCAUCACUAUAUCCAUACCAACCCCUGUGCACUGUGAUGACGAAUGUCAUCGAACAAAAAAAAACUCGUAUGGUUGAAUGUACGUGAAAUUGUAGGUAUAGCCUACGAACUAUACACAACUUUCGACAACGGAUCUCUUGGUUCUCCCAUCGAUGAAGAACGCAGCGAAACGCGAUAGGUAAUGUGAAUUGCAGAAUUCCGUGAAUCAUCGAAUCUUUGAACGCACCUUGCGCUCCAUGGUAUUCCGUGGAGCAUGCCUGUUUGAGUGCCGCGAAUUCUCCCUCCCCUUACGGUGGCCGAAAGGCCGAAGUAGGGCGGACGGGGUAGGAUGGGUGUUUGCUGCCUGGGGAUUGUACCAGGCUCGCCCGAAAUGCAUAAGCGCCAGGACCCUCGCUACCGCUCUCUAGGGAAGAGUGGCUAAGCGACCGCUGAGCAUGGCAUGAUACGUCAUUUGCUGUGUGUGGGCGGCCGGUUGGAGAGGUGUCUGCUUUACCAGCCCUAUUUUAAUUCUGGUCUCAAAUCAGGUAGGAUCACCCGCUGAACCUAAGCAUAUCAAU
rnacentral:misc_RNA from 1 species